GAUGAACGCUGGCGGCGUGCCUAAUACAUGCAAGUCGAGCGAACAGACGAGGAGCUUGCUCCUCUGACGUUAGCGGCGGACGGGUGAGUAACACGUGGAUAACCUACCUAUAAGACUGGGAUAACUUCGGGAAACCGGAGCUAAUACCGGAUAAUAUAUUGAACCGCAUGGUUCAAUAGUGAAAGACGGUUUUGCUGUCACUUAUAGAUGGAUCCGCGCCGCAUUAGCUAGUUGGUAAGGUAACGGCUUACCAAGGCAACGAUGCGUAGCCGACCUGUGAGGGUGAUCGGCCACACUAGAACUGAGACACGGUCCAGACUCCUACGGGAGGCAGCAGUAGGGAAUCUUCCGCAGAGGGCGAAAGCCUGACGGAGCAACGCCGCGUGAGUGAUGAAGGUCUUCGUAUCGUAAAACUCUGUUAUUAGGGAAGAACAAAUGUGUAAGUAACUAUGCACGUCUUGACGGUACCUAAUCAGAAAGCCACGGCUAACUACGUG
rnacentral:rRNA from 1 species